CUUGGGUCAUGUUGGCUGGGGUACAAUGCUGCCUCUAUGAAUCUGGUCCUUAGGGCCUGUUAUGCUCCCAUGAUCAGACCCUCUGUGUUCUUUAGUGCUGGAAUUUUCUAGCAACUGUUAGGAUUUCUCGAUGUCAGCUCUUUCUGUCAGUGCUACAUCCCAUGUACUGGUUUGGUUGUCCAUGAUAGCUCCUCCUCCUAGUCAUCAUCACCAUCUGUCUUCAGCUGCCUGAGGCAUUUUUUGAGCAGCUCAUCUCAGUGGGACAUCUUCCUGAGGUAUUCAUGGAUGCUCUGUGUUUCAUCCUGCAUUGUGGGACUCUGUCAUGCAUUAAUCCUAACCCAACCUCCUUCCAUUGCUCAUAGAGCUUCAGGGUGCUGGACCUUGGGUGAAGACCAUCGUGUAUUGUGAGGAGUUUUUGUGUCUUGACACCAGUGACAUCCAACUCCUCCUGUGGUCAGCUUAUUAUUUCAGCUGGGUAUUAUAUAACCGGUAGGACCUAUGUAUUUAGGGCUUGGAUCUUAUUCCUACCAUUUAGCUGGCUUCUCAGAACCUUUCUUGUCUUCUGUAAGUAUGUUCAUCUUUGCCACAUUUGCUGCUUGCCUGCCAGAUAUCCAGGUACGUGUAGCUGUCUUGCAGAUGUGAUAUUCAGCUUUCUAGCAACUUUACCCCUGCCGUCUUGAUCAUCUUUCCCCUCUUUCAACUGUUUGACCACAGAAGAGUGAGUUCUAGGAACAGCUAAGAUACAGUGCAAGACCCUAAGCUCCCAGGCUUCUGGUAGAGGACCCAAGCUUUAAGGACAAACAAAGACCACCCGCAGGGCUGAAAAGCAAUGACAAAGUGUCUUGAAAAUCUGAUGGAAGGCUGAGACAAGACGGGCAUGUUUUUCUGCUACUCUAGUUUUGUGUAAUGUUAAGAUAUCCGCAUAGAUUAUCAUGCAUGUCGCAUGCUCCCCCCAAUACUAAAAUAGCACUGUAUAUGGCAGAUUACCUUCCACAUUUGGUGCUAAUCCCUCUCUGACUACCAUUGCUGCUUCAUAAAUACAGACUAAUCCAAUAAACGCUAACUGAAUGACCACAAAUUGAAGGAUGCAUUUCGAAUAAUUAGAGUAAAACUGUGUUCUUUUGUGCUACUGGUUAAUUUUAUAACAAAUGCACUGCAGCUACUUUUUUGUAUCAAGCAAGAUCAAAAACUAUUCUACACUCAGGUCUUUUUUGUGUGCCUAUGUUUGUUGUCAUGCACAUUUAGAAAUUAAGAUCUAGGAAGCCAUGUACUUCAUCUUACUUUGUAUCUGAAAUUAGCCAUUGCAUUUGAUUUAUUUUGCUUUAUAAUCCCCAAACUGGAAAACUACUGAGCUCCCUCAAGGGCACAACACCCUGAAAACCUUUGAGCUCAGUUCCAUUGUAAAGGUACAACACUUUUCAAACUUUAAUUCUAGCCUCGGCUAGGGACUCAACAGUUAAAUCACAAGUCUCUAAACCACGGUGUCUUUUGAUUGAAACGGGUUGUUUCCAAAUGAGAGUGGAGAGCAGUUUUCCCUCCAUCCGUCUUGUCCAUCCAUCUUCGUUACAAAAGGCUCUCUUGUCUCUCUGGCGUCCCCCACCCUGACACUACUCCACUCCUGAAACCAGCUAGUAUUAAGACUGACUCUUCAAUCCCAGACAAUCGAUGCCGUCACUUACCAACCGAGUCACACCACUGAUUACCGCGUCCCUCAAUUUACACUGCUGGUGGUGAAAGGUGGAAGGGUGUGUGUGUGUGUGUGUGUGUGUGUGUGUGUGUGUGCUGCUAUAUGAGGUGGACUCCCUGCUGGGCUGGUGUGCGCAUAAUAAGACUCUGCUGCCUUCAGGUGUAGAUGUUUGAGAGGAAAUAACUUCAUUGCUUAUAGUAGAUGCAAUGAAUGUUUUUUCUAAAUCAUUUUAUCCUUAGAUGACUUGGAAAAUAACACUGCCAGGAGGGCUCUGCAGUCUGCUUUUUCACAAAGCAGCUGACACCGUGUGAGCAGAUGUUGCAUCGCGGCGACAGAAAGCAUGUUGAUCAGUCUCCCGCUUGCUCGUAAUUAUGAAUACACGAGCUUCUAUGCUUGCAAACUCAAGAGUCACACCAUUUGAAUAUGUGUAUUUACUUUAUGACAUCACUCUGCAUUGACUUCCAGAAAAUUACACUUCCAGCAGAGUCUCCAGGUCACACACACUUGGACCAUUACCUGCUGCAGCUGAAAGAAAAUCAAACAAAAUUUUCCUCAAAAUAACAUUUUCUUCUUACUGCACUUUAAAAAGAGAAAACAGGAAGUUUCAAGACAAAGCAAAGCCUUUUUUCUGUCAGCUCACAUGUUAGAUUACAGAACAAAGUACAGAAAAAAUCUAUCUAUCUAUCUCUCUCUCUCUCUCUCUCUCUCUCUCUCUCUCUCUCUCUCUAUCUAUCUCCGUCACCACAUGCUUUCUUCUUGUCUGGGCCCAUCUUCAUCAGCCGUCUUAAUGAGUUCCAUUGGAACUCAUUUGAGUCUGUGAUUAGAUUCCUGCUAAUAAAUUAUGUGUGUUCUCAGCAGGUUGCUAUCUCUGUGUCGGCUACCACUCAGUGUGUGUCUUCAUGUGUAAAUGUGUGUGUUGGAAUGGGAUGGGACGGAACAGAAUCAAAACCUACUGAAUACUAAUGUUCACUGUCUUCUAAUCAUUUCAUGUAAAUUGCACAUUUUUGAAUAUGUCUGUGUGUGUGUGUGUGUGUGUGUGUGUGUGUGUGUGUGUGAUGUCUGAUAGCUACCAGAUAACAGAUACAGGACAUCUUGUGUCCUCCUGAUGCAUAAAAUGUUAAUAAUCGUAAUCUAAUAAUCAUUAAAAAUGCGGACCACCUAUUAACUACUAAUGAACCAAUGAAGGCAAAAUGUAGUAAAGGCAUAAUGGAUUCUUUUCUGUUGGCAGCUGAUACUAAUUUUAAUGACAAGGUGAAAUUUCAUCCCCCAUACGCGAAGGCUAAAGGGUUGGCAUUAUGCAAAUCUUUUUAUUACUGUAUAAACCCAUCAUGUAACCAGUAGUUUAACAUCAAAUAGGUUUUACAGUCUGGCAGUCUGUCUGAAGUAUUGUGGUGAGCCAGAAGUCUGGUUGUGGCUCAGAAACUUCACACUCUUCCCAUCCACUGCACUGAUACAGCGAAAUGAGGUGUUGCACAAAUGUGGGGCAAGCUGCUCGCUGACUUAAUCACUGCUGUUUUCAUCUGGCUUAUUUUGGCGAUUUCUGUUUAGUGGUUGGUCAUAUUAGAGAAGAAGUAGCCAUCCAGAUAAAAUUGUUUAUGUCUGAAUGCUUCCAUUUUACUGGACAAGAGUUAUUUUUUGCUUGUAUUGUUUGCCAUACCAUAUAACCAAUGGACCAGGAGGUCACUGAUUCAGGAGGUAAAGACUGAGUCACAGUACCACUAAAGACUCUACAGAGAGUGAUAGUUACAAAGAGUAAUAGUUAUUUUUGUGAAGAAAAGUGAAGUGAGCGGUAGGAGUGUAAUGACACGAGGCUGGAUGAGUGUGUUACGUGCCAAGAGAUGUGGCUUUGCUUUUGUGUUCUUUUUAUCUUUCAGGUGUCAAGCCUCCACCCAUUGGCCAGUUCAAAGUUGGUUGGCAUGUGUCUAUUGGCUGGUCUGGGCACCGGGCACUACAAAUGAGCAGCUCCCUGGCCAGCUGGUCGCUGCUGCCUUCUGUCUUAUGACAAACAUUUGUGUGAAGGCUUCUGUGUAUUUUGAGAGUGUGUGGUGGGAGGCUGGGCAGAAGUUUUAAGGUAGAGGAAUGUUCCAGCAUGAUAAUGAUCCAAAAGCACACUGCAAAAGAUCCCACAAGACUUGAAACCUAUGUAUGACCUGCCCGAGUUUCAGCAUGAUAUAAAUCCAGUAGUGCAUACGAAUGCAGAAAUGCAGCACUGGGACCAGGAUGCUCAAGGCUGGGACCCGUUUUCAUUGAAACAUCAAAGAAACAUUAAAGAAAGACAGACUCUCUCUCUCUCUCUCUCUCUCUCUCUCUCUCUCUCACACACACACACAC